rnacentral:tRNA from 1 species
UGUGAUGUGCCUGACUAAAGGACUAUUUUGAUAGGAUAGAACAUGUGCCCCCACCACCAUCACAA